CUCCCCCUCCUUCACCUGCGCACGUGCUCCGCUCCCUCCAAGGUCAGGUUCAGCAUGACUACGACGCUGGCCCUUUCUCUGGCACCCUGUCCAAACUCUGUCCCUCCCUCCUCACUCCUGCAUAAGAAAGUUAAACUUGCCUGGCUUAGACUGAAGGCUUCCAACACUGGGGACUGGCUGAAAUUGCCUUUGUGAUCCAGAGCCCGGCACAAAGGAGACUCUGCACCGAACCCGGGGCUCAAACUUGGAGAUCAAGGGUCGUCCACUCCACUGAGGGACCAGCCAGGUGCUCAGCUCGCUCAUUCAUUUGCUCGGCAAGCUCUCGUUUGUGCUUACCCGGUGCCCAGGAUACAGAGGAAGCGACCAUGGCUGUGACGGCAGCUACUUUUAUUGAACAAACCCUACUGAUAGCCAGACUCUCCCCUGAGACCUUUAUAUUUAGUAACUUAUUUGGGGGAGAAAUAAAAAUGCCCCGCCCUCAAGUGCUCA